AAUAUAAAAUGAAUAAAUACUUAUUUAUACUGUGAAUUGGCGCAGAGUCUCUACAAGACACCGGAAAUGUCUAACAAUAAGUGAGCAUAGAGCUUGC
rnacentral:ncRNA from 2 species